UUGUGCACGCCCUGUUAGUUUCUCCGCAAGAAUAUGUAGCUUUGCGGCACCGCCACUCUCCAGCUCCAGGACCAGGUAGUCGUGGUUAAUCAAACCCCGCAUCUGCGCAAAACACACACACACACACAUACAUGUGCAUCUGGUCCAACAAAAUUUCUGAUGACGACCAUCAGUGGUUUCUUUCUCAGGCUGAAUUUCACAAAAUUUCUGUUCAAAAAGAAAAUGAGGCCGCCGCAUAAACGAAGAAAAUUCAAUGGCGAAUACUCAACUGAAAUCAUCACCCUGAAAAUCCACUCUCAGGCUGGGGGCACGUAGCCAGCAAUUGGACUGACAGGGCUGCGGAUACCAUGUAGGUAUAACAAUGGUAUUGCAACGGCAUCCCAUUGGUAUCCCCAGGGGUAUCGCAGGGUGUCUCCAGAUAUCGGAUGCUCUAAACUACAUUCGGUGUGUCUGGUAGCUAACCUACAACCUUCCAACCGUAGGGGGGUGCCAGGCCUGUUUCUGAAAGAGAUAAAUCACUGAUGUGCAUGAUGGUUUCAACGACGGUACCGAAUCUAUGUUGAAACUAACUUGCCGGUCCAACCGUGGUCUAAACUGCUAUGGUCACGGAACUCACCUCCUUGAUUUUCUGGACCUGUGCCGCCGACACAUCGGACCCUCCGCUGGCAUCUUGUAGCCCCUGGACACUGAUUUGCGCAACUUGCUCGAGAGCCCUCUCGCAGUAGUUGAUCGUCACGAGUGUGCAGUCCGUACAGAAGGCGUUGUACUUGGUGUCUCCCAGGGUCCCAGAAAUAUGACAGUACACAUCUCCCGCGAUCGUUGUGAGAUGGGCAGAGUCGCCUGUGUGCUGCUUUGCCAGUUCCAACGCUGUGUUCACGAUACUCCUCCGAGACCUGUAGGAGGCUUUGGAUGAGUCCCCCAAACCAGUCCUUGCGAGCUUUCUGCUGGACUCCGACGAAGACAUGACUUAGGAUUAACGGGGCAAGCGCUGGAUUGCACUGCGAGAAUCACGAUAUGUCUGGAGAAACUUGGGUCAAACCUGUGUCGUCCUGAGCAUCGAGGUGCAGCUUUAUGGUCACCGUUGUCUGUACAAUCAUGUCAUUGUGGCUCUGACAGGCGGAGGCUGGUACAGCUUACCACAUUCACUAUCGUAGUCAGCACGUAACCUUUUUCCUCUUAAAAUUAUUUCCUUGAAAUUUGUACAGCGAGGCAAGACAUGCUGAGUGUUGCUCCAAUAUGCCCCCUACUGUGUCAUUCAAUUUUUUUUUUUUAAAUAUAAAUAAUGAUAGAUAUAAAUCUUUGUGAAGUACAGAAGACCGCAGUGGUCUCUAAAUCGUAGGGAAACAUGUAAAAAUAGUCUAGCCGACGAGGAUGACUCGUGCAUUGUGAGAGGGUGUCCAUUCUGCUUUCCAACUCGUCUGCAGAGCCGUGAUGCCCGCUGUUCUGACAGUCGGCUCGGGUGGCACUAAAUUUCGACCGCUUCGGUUCUCAAAUCUGGGUGCAAUAAGUUCAGCACCUAAUAUAUCUUAUUGUCGAUAAUAUAUCAUAAUAACCAUUAUGGUGCAUGUCGGUAGCUUGGCAUAAUGGCUACUUUAGGGCGUAGGAAUCGAUUGCAGAGCGUUAGGUCUUACCUCGUCAGCAACUUGAUUUCGGGCCUUCGACAAGUUUAUACUGCCACUUGAUAUACCGCCUGCGAUUUCGGAGUAUGGUACUGUUUGAAUUGAAAGCCAUGACUUGCACUUGAAGUCGUUGCGUAAUGCAUUUGCUGUUUUUGAUUCCAGACUUGGGGAGGGAUCGCUUUAAAUGAUUUCAUUUGCCAUUUUUGUUUGGUGAGGUUGUGAAGCUGCGUAUCCUGUUCGGAUUUUCUGCUGGCUUAGCGACCUGAUAGGGAAAUCUAUGCCUCGAGAGUUGGAAGUUACAUAUUGCAAGUGUGUGAAAUCGAAGCUCACAUACCGUAUGGUAAGUGAGCAGUUUGUCUGUACAUGUUUGCACUCGUAAGAUGUUCAAGUGACAACAGGCUUAGGUUGACAGCAGCCAGAUAGCAGCACUUCAGUGUGACACAGACUCUAAUCGUGACAUCCCUCAUGUCGUGAUCGGAAGUCCCGGUUCCUGAUACUCAGUCCAUGAUCAGAUGCCAGCUGAUUUAUCAAGAGGCACCAUCAGAAGAGAAUUCACUGCACAGAAGGAAGAAAACGACGAGCUACAGUUUUCCUGUUUUCAAUCAUUAGUCUUUGUGAUUCUUAAUUUUUAUUAUUGUUAUUAUUUUUUUAACGGCUAAAUCUCACAAAACUUCUCCCAUAAAAAAUGACUGCUUCAUGCAUGAAGGAAAACCGGUGCUUGCCCUUAUCCUGUCGUCAUGAUACAUGGCUGGCUCUCGUCCACACCGAAUGUUCACUUGAAAAGUAAACUUAGUUUUAUGAAAGUCAAGUAAAUGAGACUCAUGAAUGACCAAUUUAUGAGAUGAAUCAACUUCUAGUUGUUUGGACAUUUUUACUAUGCAUUGAUCCCUUUCAUAGAUGGCACAUGUAAGUUUCAAUUCAAAACAUUAGAUACUGUAAAUGUAAACUGAUUAUUUUCAAAUAAUAUUAAUAAAAAAAUAAUCUCCACAUUUGAUAUGACUUUCAACUUCAUUGUACUUCAUUUUACCAUGUGCUAGUGAUGAGCCAUGACAUUUCACACUUAUCCAAGUCAGCUAUUUAGAAGAAAGUGGUGUACUAGUAUUAGUGAUAUAUUUAAAGAAUGGAUCUCUUUUAUUAAAGACUCUUCACUAGUUACCUAGAUUCCACAAAUUGAUGAUGUUGCCUUGAUUGCCCCAACCUCUAUUCUAACUUCUUCACAUUUUACACUAUAAGUAAUUUUUUUUUCACUUUUUAACAUGUAUAAAAAUAUUGUUUUGAUUCAUCACCAUACACAAUGUGGUUCUACAAUAAUGCUUUGCACUUAUGCAUUGUGCAACCACGAGCUAAUACAAAUCACACAUUGUGUCCGGAAGGAUUAUUGUAUAUAUCUAUUCAUUUCAAUGAAAGUAUUGUACUAUGUGAACUAAAAUAAACCUCUACUAGUUGGAAGUUUAGUCUAAUUUACUACAAUUUUGAUUGUUUAAAUAUUCUAACAAUGCCCAACUAGCAUUUGUUUAAUGUCCAAGUGUCCUAUAUCAUCCCAAUUGUGAGCAAAAAUAAAUCUCUAAUAGAUGAUUUAUGCAACUUACAACUACUAAUUUAUUUAUAAAUUAAUCACCUAAAUGCUUCCAAUUACUCCAUACUUAGUCCUUUAAAUUAUUAAUUAAAAGGUACACUCUCACAUUUACAACACUAAAAUACCAACUACUCAAAUAAUUCAAAAGAUCACAUACUUAAAUAAGGGAUUCAAAAGCUAUAGUUAAUUGGAGAAGAAUCAAGCCUCACAUCAUCUUUGGUCUAUGAAAAAAUAAAACCAAAAUCUUCAUAUGACCUAUAUUUGAUUACAGAAAGAAUAAUUCCCUUGACUCUAUAAAAGAUAUCCAACCUUUGAAAGUCUAAGGCAAGUUAACAAAGAUCAUUCAUUUGACUAAAAUUUUAAAAUAAAAUAAAAUAAAAUAAAAAAUACUUAGAUUCCAAUCCUUAUCAUUAGAAAGAUGACAAGGAGUUUACAUAAUGGCUAAAUAAUCAUCUAGACUCUAAUUGUAAUUAUUUCAAAUUAGUUAAUUUUAUAGAAGGAAUGUUAGAGAUUGUGGAAGUUAAAGAAAUCCAAGUCUUUAGCAUUAAUAUGGAUAGAAAAUUAGAAGAAAAAUUAAAGUCCUUAGAAGAGAUGAUGACUUAGUUCCACCUCUUAGAUUUCUAAACACUUUAUUGAAAAUUUUAAUUGGCAAUAAAGUUGUCAACUAUCUUCCUAUAUCUAGUGAUUGAUAUAUAAAUUCUUUAAAAUAAUCUCCACUAUGAUAAUUGAAAUAGAAACUCAUAGAUAUAUUUCAUAUAGGAAAAGAUUUCAAAAACAUUAAAAUUAGAGUUUAUUUAAAUCAAGAAGAAGUGUCUAAAUAUCAUGAUUUGAUCAUAAAAUAUUGAAAUAUUUUAGCAUGGUCAUAUAAGGAUUUGAAGGAUAUAUCAAGUAAAGUGGCUCAAUACCGUAAUUUUUUAUACUUAAUGUCAAGGAAGUUAGACAAAAAGAAAGUUGUAUGAACUUUGAAUUCCAAUUGAUUGUUGAGAAAGAGUUAAAAAAAUGUUACAAGCUGGAUUUAUUAAAUCAGUAGAAAUAACAAAUUGGGUCUCUCUUAAUUAAAUUUCAUCUACAAUUGGUUAUCGGAUCAAGAAUUCAUCUCCAUGACCUAACUUCAUCCCUACAGUUGUUCAUACUAUCAAGAUGUUCGUCUCCCUUCGAGGUUGUUUAUCAAUUUCAAAAUUACUCACUUCGUAACAUAUGAUCGUUCUCUACCCAACUUGUUCUGAAAAAAAUUCUCACGGAAAUGACGUUGGUGGAACGAGCCUUGACCGCUGUUGGAGAGUUGCUUCAGUUGUCUGUGGUGUAUGCUCCAACUGCCUGACUUCCUCGUACGAGAAAACUUCCCGAGUACACAGGGUAGCAGUUGUAUAGCUACCAAUAAAGUAGGCGGGGCUGGGAAGAGUUACUCCAAGCACGGAUUUGGCGAUGAACUAGCAGUAUUGUGGCCGCUUUAGGAAUGGAACACCGCUCACAAGCCAUCGCCUUCUCAACAAAUCAAUGACUUCUACAUACUAAUGACUCUAACUCUAACUCUAUCCUACAUAUGCACGUGCAAUCGUGCUUAGUAUUGCCAACUGAGAGAUCCACACAUCUGCAACCAGUACGGACAUCAACCAGACAUGGCGAUGGGCUAAGGCAGUCUCAAAAAAAAUCCGCUCUACCUCGACAAGUUGGAGAAACGCUUCGGUGAGUGCGGAUUGAACAAGGUAGGAUUUUAGGUGCCCACAGAGCUUUUGAACUCAUCAACGUCGAUGCGGGACCAAUGCCAAUGCAGUCGCUCUGAAGAUGUUGCACACAUCGUCAAGAUCAAGAACCAUCUCAAGUACUUCAAUGCAGCAGCGAUAACUUCUUGCUCCACAUGAUCAAUAGAGUUCCAUCGCUCCAAAAUCUAGACCUGAAGCAAGAGCCUCUACGCUCUUUGCACGCCACUUUCGAAGCCUUAUAGCAACCUUGCUCCGCAGGCAAACCUUCAACCGCGACCUGAGGACUCUGUCGAAGACGAGAAGGGAACAAAACGGUCCAGCCACAGAAGCCGAACACACAGACCUCCGCCACUUUGUCGUUCACCAAAAAAACACAAAAAACAAAAAAAAAAAAAAAAAAAAAAAACAGCAACAAAGAUGGUCAGCACUGCUAGACCGCAAUCAACAAAGCAGAGGAAGAAACCCUCCAUCAAGACCGUUUAGAUGUUCCAUGCCGCAUGUUGUUGCUGCUACAUGCAAAAGCACUCUUUUUCCAGUCACGAUCGCCUCCAGUUACAACCGCCGCACAAUUUAGACCAACCGCAAUGCUCCCUCCGAGGAUGUACAAUGCUCAAAUCGCAACCCAGCAAAGAUCUAGGCACCAGACCACCAUCGCACCGUAGCAAGAACUCGCUUCCCGCAAGAAAGCGAUGCAUCGCAAGGGAAACACCUCCAAUGCACAGCCGCUAGAUGCUGAACUUUUGAGAGGUAGCCAAAAAGACCCCCCAGUCCACUGCACCGCACCGGGGAGGGGGUUCACGUUGGGUUGCAACGCCUUGAACUUCAGCUGCUGCAGACACACGCCGUCGGAAAAGGAAGCAGUAAGAACUAGCAGGAGACACUGUCACUGGCAACCAAACCCCAACCGCCGAAUGCCGAGUUCCACUUGAAAGGAAGAUAGGAGAGAGAGUAAGGAAGAAAUUUGUUGGGGGAUGAGCAAGAACGUAAUCUAUAAAUGAAGCAGUAAUAGAGUUGGAUUAAACCAUGGUUGCAUGCUUGUUGAUAUAUCCGAGCAUACCAAGAACCUCAUAGACAUUUAAUAUUUCAGUCGUAUAUAUCAUUAAAAAAAAUACCAAGAGCACUCAUGGAAAAUUCUAUCAACAGUCUAGCAUAUCUCUUGAGCCCAUUAACUGAAAGUGAAGGAAGCACAGAGGGAUUGGGUAUUCCAUUGGGUACUUUUCAAACAGCAAGUACAAUCAAUUCUAGUAAGAUUGGUUCCUUAGAAGAGCAUAAAUUUCUUACCAAUAAAGACCAAUUUAGCAUGUUUCAAAUUCUAUCAUUUUUACCUUCAAUUCAACUAAUAAAAUUAUUUGUAGAUAAUAAUAGUAAAUUGAGGAGGCAAAAAAGUCCAAAAAAGAUAAUUGAAGAAGGUUGUAUUUAUUUUAAUAAGUAAUUAAGUGGAACAUUGUCAUCUUCAAUGGCGACGAGGGACUCAACAAUUUCAAUUGAAGUUCAAAUGGGUGCAAAGGGCAAUCGUACAACUAGUGUAGCUGCAUUAUCUACUUUUAGAGGUUUACCAAGUUCAAAUCUAUAUCAACAUUUGUCUCAAUUCUUGAUUGCAUGUGUAGCCAAUAAUGGUAGAAUUAAAGAUAUUUGGUUGAAGUGGCCGCCAGUGACUUUGAAAGAUACAACAUUUGAAUGGUAUAAUUGCAAACCUAUGGGCUAGUUUCCUAAUUGGAAGGCAUUGAAAUAUAUGUUUUUAAUCCAUUUUUGAUUAAUUGGAUUUGAAGAAUGUCUUUGAGAAAGGUUAAUGAAUAGUAGAAUGGUACUAAGAGAAGUGGUGCAAUCAUAUUAUGGACGAGUCGUAAAUAUCUGUCACGGACAUAAUCAUAUAAGCUAGUAAUUAUAUAUACAAAAAGGUAGAAGUAAGUAAAAGUAGGUAAAAAUAAAUUAAUUCUAUAGUAUUUAAUAUGGAAGCUUCUUAGAAGCUUCAUAGAUGCUACUUUAACUUCAUAGGUGUCUAUAAUUGACUUUUUGGAUUAGAAACGUGGUCAACAACUUGGCCAUGUGCCACACAUGUUGUUAGCUUGAAGAUCAAGCUAACUAUGUGGCCCACACGUAGAAAAACUUGCCUUGUAAGUCAAGGCAUGUAUUCUACAAAGUCAAUACAUAUUGGAGGUCCUAUAGAACGUCGCCACGUAGCCCCUAGUUAGAUAGUAUAUGUAGAGACAAGAGUGAAGGCUUCUUCACUCUUGUCAACUCCUUUCUUGCUUCCAGUCUAGUUUCAAGGGUCUCUACUUUUUUCGUCUUUUGGCAAUAGCCAUUCCAAUUUCUCUUUCAAUAUACAUACUUGUUUAUUUAUAUUUUGUUACCUUUCUUUGAGUGAAGGCUCACUUGUUUGAAUCCUUUUUUCAUCGAGUUCUUGUCCUUGACAAUAUCUUUUGUAAAUGGCUAAAUAAUCAAGUGGCAAAAUUUUUUGUUUUGUCUAAAUUGAUAAAUGAACUAUAUCCACCAGAAUUGAAGAUGUUUGUAAAAGAGGGCCAACCGGCCAUUGUUGCUUCUUCACUUGAUUUAGCUAAGGUAUAAAAAGAAUAUCAUUAUGACCAAUUCCUUACUACAAGAGCAAUGAUGAUUCAAUCUCAGGGAGAUUAUCAAAUGCCAACUAAGAAUGAAGUAAUAGACAGUUAUCUAAGAAUGAUUGAUUAUGGUGCCAAUGUCAAGGACAAGAACUUGAUGAAAAAACAAUUCAGACAAGUGAGCCUUCACUCAAAGAAAGAUAACAAAAUAUAUAUAAACAAGUAUAUAUAUUGAAAGAAAAACUGGAAUGGCUAUUGCCAAAAGACAAGAAAACUAGAGACCCUUGAAACUAGACUAGAAGUAAGAAAGGAGUUGACAAGAGUGAAGAAGCCUUCACUCUUGUCUCUAUAUAUACUAUCUAACUAGGGGCUAUGUGGCAAGGUUCUAUAGGACCUCCAAUAUGUGUUGACUUUGUAGGGCACAUGCCUUGACUUACGAGGCAAGUUUUUCUACGUGUGGGCCACAUAGUUAGCUUGAUCUUCAAGCUAACAACAUGUAUGGCACAUGGCCAACUUAUUGACCACGUUUUUAAUCCAAAAAGUCAAUUAAAAACACCUAUGAAGUCAAAGCAGCGUCUAGGAAAUUUCUAAGAAGCUUCUAUAUUAAAUAUUAUAGAAUUAACUUACUUUUACCUACUUUUACUUACUUCUACCUAUUUCUAUAUGUAAUUAUUAGCUUACAUCAUUAUGGCCGUGACAUUCACCCCCUUUUAGGGACGAGUUCCACGAGGAGCGGUCAUCAUAUGUUGAGAAAAUCUAUAAUGUGACGAAUUGUUUUUGCCACAUACUCUGAUCUCUGAUUUCUUCGAAGAUGAUUGAUAGGGCCUCUCAACGAUCGGUAGUGUCGUAUACGAGGGCGAAAAGACCACCUAGUUAUUUGGACAUUGUUGAGGCCUUCGUAACUUCCUUCGAAUAGAAUAUUUGAAACACCAUCAGAAGUUGUUCCUACCUCUAGCAAAAUCACCAAACAUCGGGAGUCCCUUCCUAAAUCAUCAUACCAAACGCGUUGUAUCUCACCAUCUAUUCGAGGAAGAACAUGUCGUUCUUGAAGAUCUUCAUCUUGAUUGCGUCGUCUUGAAGGUUGUGACAAUCGUAAUGUCCCGUUCGGCGGAUCAGCAAACAAAGGCUCUUGAGUUAAAUCGGUUGGUUGUUGGUUCUCCAUCUCUUGAGCGCCACUACUACAACGAAGCUACGAACAAGAAUUGAAAGUAGAAUGUUAUCUUGCCUACAUGUUGUUUCUUUUAUAAAGAAGGUUUUCAUCUUGAUUUUGAUGGAUGUUGUCGAUGACUUGAUUAUGGUGCCAAUGUCAAGGAAAAGAACUUGAUAAAAAAACAAUUCAAACAAGUGAGCCUUCACUCAAAGAAAGAUAACAAAAUAUAUAUAAACAAGUAUAUAUAUUGAAAGAAAAACUGGAAUGGCUAUUGCCAAAAGACAAGAAAACUAGAGACCCUUGAAACUAGACUAGAAGUAAGAAAGGAGUUGACAAGAGUGAAGAAGCCUUCACUCUUGUCUCUAUAUAUACUAUCUAACUAGGGGCUAUGUGGCAAGGUUCUAUAGGACCUCCAAUAUGUGUUGACUUUGUAGGGCACAUGCCUUGACUUACGAGGCAAGUUUUUCUACGUGUGGGCCACAUAGUUAGCUUGAUCUUCAAGCUAACAACAUGUAUGGCACAUGGCCAACUUAUUGACCACGUUUUUAAUCCAAAAAGUCAAUUAAAGACACCUAUGAAGUCAAAGCAGCGUCUAGGAAAUUUCUAAGAAGCUUCUAUAUUAAAUAUUAUAGAAUUAACUUACUUUUACCUACUUUUACUUACUUCUACCUAUUUCUAUAUGUAAUUAUUAGCUUACAUCAUUAUGGCCGUGACAUUCACCCCCUUUUAGGGACGAGUUCCACGAGGAGCGGUCAUCAUAUGUUGAGAAAAUCUAUAAUGCGACGAAUUGUUUUUGCCACAUACUCUGAUCUCUGAUUUCUUCGAAGAUGAUUGAUAGGGCCUCUCAACGAUCGGUAGUGUCGUAUACGAGGGCGAAAAGACCACCUAGUUAUUUGGACAUUGUUGAGGCCUUCGUAACUUCCUUCGAAUAGAAUAUUUGAAACACCAUCAGAAGUUGUUCCUACCUCUAGCAAAAUCACCAAACAUCGGGAGUCCCUUCCUAAAUCGUGAUACCAAACGCGUUGUAUCUCACCAUCUAUUCGAGGAAGAACAUGUCGUUCUUGAAGAUCUUCAUCUUGAUUGCGUCGUCUUGAAGGUUGUGACACUCGAAAUGUCCCGUUUGGUGGGUCAGCAAACAAAGGUUCUUGAGUUAAAUCGGUUGGUUGUUGGUUCUCCAUCUCCUGAGCGCCACUACUACAACGAAGCUACGAACAAGAAUUGAAAGUAGAAUGUUAUCUUGCCUACAUGUUGUUUCUUUUAUAAAGAAGGUUUUCAUCUUGAUUUUGAUGGAUGUUGUCGAUGACUUGAUUAUGGUGCCAAUGUCAAGGAAAAGAACUUGAUAAAAAAACAAUUCAAACAAGUGAGCCUUCACUCAAAGAAAGAUAACAAAAUAUAUAUAAACAAGUAUAUAUAUUGAAAGAAAAACUGGAAUGGCUAUUGCCAAAAGACAAGAAAACUAGAGACCCUUGAAACUAGACUAGAAGUAAGAAAGGAGUUGACAAGAGUGAAGAAGCCUUCACUCUUGUCUCUAUAUAUACUAUCUAACUAGGGGCUAUGUGGCAAGGUUCUAUAGGACCUCCAAUAUGUGUUGACUUUGUAGGGCACAUGCCUUGUCUUACGAGGCAAGUUUUUCUACGUGUGGGCCACAUAGUUAGCUUGAUCUUCAAGCUAACAACAUGUAUGGCACAUGGCCAACUUAUUGACCACGUUUUUAAUCCAAAAAGUCAAUUUAAAACACCUAUGAAGUCAAAGCAGCGUCUAGGAAAUUUCUAAGAAGCUUCUAUAUUAAAUAUUAUAGAAUUAACUUACUUUUACCUACUUUUACUUACUUCUACCUAUUUCUAUAUGUAAUUAUUAGCUUACAUCAUUAUGGCCGUGAUAUUCACCCCCUUUUAGGGACGAGUUCCACGAGGAGCGGUCAUCAUAUGUUGAGAAAAUCUAUAAUGCGACGAAUUGUUUUUGCCACAUACUCUGAUCUCUGAUUUCUUCGAAGAUGAUUGAUAGGGCCUCUCAACGAUCGGUAGUGUCGUAUACGAGGGCGAAAAGACCACCUAGUUAUUUGGACAUUGUUGAGGCCUUCGUAACUUCCUUCGAAUAGAAUAUUUGAAACACCAUCAGAAGUUGUUCCUACCUCUAGCAAAAUCACCAAACAUCGGGAGUCCCUUCCUAAAUCGUGAUACCAAACGCGUUGUAUCUCACCAUCUAUUCGAGGAAGAACAUGUCGUUCUUGAAGAUCUUCAUCUUGAUUGCGUCGUGUUGAAGGUUGUGACAAUCGUAAUGUCCCGUUCGGCGGAUCAGCAAACAAAGGCUCUUGAGUUAAAUCGGUUGGUUGUUGGUUCUCCAUCUCCUGAGCGCCACUACUACAACGAAGCUACGAACAAGAAUUGAAAGUAGAAUGUUAUCUUGCCUACAUGUUGUUUCUUUUAUAAAGAAGGUUUUCAUCUUGAUUUUGAUGGAUGUUGUCGAUGACUUGAUUAUGGUGCCAAUGUCAAGGAAAAGAACUUGAUAAAAAAACAAUUCAAACAAGUGAGCCUUCACUCAAAGAAAGAUAACAAAAUAUAUAUAAACAAGUAUAUAUAUUGAAAGAAAAACUGGAAUGGCUAUUGCCAAAAGACAAGAAAACUAGAGACCCUUGAAACUAGACUAGAAGUAAGAAAGGAGUUGACAAGAGUGAAGAAGCCUUCACUCUUGUCUCUAUAUAUACUAUCUAACUAGGGGCUAUGUGGCAAGGUUCUAUAGGACCUCCAAUAUGUGUUGACUUUGUAGGGCACAUGCCUUGACUUACGAGGCAAGUUUUUCUACGUGUGGGCCACAUAGUUAGCUUGAUCUUCAAGCUAACAACAUGUAUGGCACAUGGCCAACUUAUUGACCACGUUUUUAAUCCAAAAAGUCAAUUAAAAACACCUAUGAAGUCAAAGCAGCGUCUAGGAAAUUUCUAAGAAGCUUCUAUAUUAAAUAUUAUAGAAUUAACUUACUUUUACCUACUUUUACUUACUUCUACCUAUUUCUAUAUGUAAUUAUUAGCUUACAUCAUUAUGGCCGUGACAUUCACCCCCUUUUAGGGACGAGUUCCACGAGGAGCGGUCAUCAUAUGUUGAGAAAAUCUAUAAUGCGACGAAUUGUUUUUGCCACAUACUCUGAUCUCUGAUCUCUUCGAAGAUGAUUGAUAGGGCCUCUCAACGAUCGGUAGUGUCGUAUACGAGGGCGAAAAGACCACCUAGUUAUUUGGACAUUGUUGAGGCCUUCGUAACUUCCUUCGAAUAGAAUAUUUGAAACACCAUCAGAAGUUGUUCCUACCUCUAGCAAAAUCACCAAACAUCGGGAGUCCCUUCCUAAAUCGUGAUACCAAACGCGUUGUAUCUCACCAUCUAUUCGAGGAAGAACAUGUCGUUCUUGAAGAUCUUCAUCUUGAUUGCGUCGUCUUGAAGGUUGUGACAAUCGUAAUGUCCCGUUCGGCGGAUCAGCAAACAAAGGCUCUUGAGUUAAAUCGGUUGGUUGUUGGUUCUCCAUCUCCUGAGCGCCACUACUACAACGAAGCUACGAACAAGAAUUGAAAGUAGAAUGUUAUCUUGCCUACAUGUUGUUUCUUUUAUAAAGAAGGUUUUCAUCUUGAUUUUGAUGGAUGUUGUCGAUGACUUGAUUAUGGUGCCAAUGUCAAGGAAAAGAACUUGAUAAAAAAACAAUUCAAACAAGUGAGCCUUCACUCAAAGAAAGAUAACAAAAUAUAUAUAAACAAGUAUAUAUAUUGAAAGAAAAACUGGAAUGGCUAUUGCCAAAAGACAAGAAAACUAGAGACCCUUGAAACUAGACUAGAAGUAAGAAAGGAGUUGACAAGAGUGAAGAAGCCUUCACUCUUGUCUCUAUAUAUACUAUCUAACUAGGGGCUAUGUGGCAAGGUUCUAUAGGACCUCCAAUAUGUGUUGACUUUGUAGGGCACAUGCCUUGUCUUACGAGGCAAGUUUUUCUACGUGUGGGCCACAUAGUUAGCUUGAUCUUCAAGCUAACAACAUGUAUGGCACAUGGCCAACUUAUUGACCACGUUUUUAAUCCAAAAAGUCAAUUUAAAACACCUAUGAAGUCAAAGCAGCGUCUAGGAAAUUUCUAAGAAGCUUCUAUAUUAAAUAUUAUAGAAUUAACUUACUUUUACCUACUUUUACUUACUUCUACCUAUUUCUAUAUGUAAUUAUUAGCUUACAUCAUUAUGGCCGUGAUAUUCACCCCCUUUUAGGGACGAGUUCCACGAGGAGCGGUCAUCAUAUGUUGAGAAAAUCUAUAAUGCGACGAAUUGUUUUUGCCACAUACUCUGAUCUCUGAUUUCUUCGAAGAUGAUUGAUAGGGCCUCUCAACGAUCGGUAGUGUCGUAUACGAGGGCGAAAAGACCACCUAGUUAUUUGGACAUUGUUGAGGCCUUCGUAACUUCCUUCGAAUAGAAUAUUUGAAACACCAUCAGAAGUUGUUCCUACCUCUAGCAAAAUCACCAAACAUCGGGAGUCCCUUCCUAAAUCGUGAUACCAAAUGCGUUGUAUCUCACCAUCUAUUUGAGGAAGAACAUGUCGUUCUUGAAGAUCUUCAUCUUGAUUGCGUCGUCUUGAAGGUUGUGACACUCGUAAUGUCCCGUUUGGUGGGUCAGCAAACAAAGGCUCUUGAGUUAAAUCGGUUGGUUGUUGGUUCUCCAUCUCCUGAGCGCCACUACUACAACGAAGCUACGAACAAGAAUUGAAAGUAGAAUGUUAUCUUGCCUACAUGUUGUUUCUUUUAUAAAGAAGGUUUUCAUCUUGAUUUUGAUGGAUGUUGUCGAUGACUUGAUUAUGGUGCCAAUGUCAAGGAAAAGAACUUGAUAAAAAAACAAUUCAAACAAGUGAGCCUUCACUCAAAGAAAGAUAACAAAAUAUAUAUAAACAAGUAUAUAUAUUGAAAGAAAAACUGGAAUGGCUAUUGCCAAAAGACAAGAAAACUAGAGACCCUUGAAACUAGACUAGAAGUAAGAAAGGAGUUGACAAGAGUGAAGAAGCCUUCACUCUUGUCUCUAUAUAUACUAUCUAACUAGGGGCUAUGUGGCAAGGUUCUAUAGGACCUCCAAUAUGUGUUGACUUUGUAGGGCACAUGCCUUGACUUACGAGGCAAGUUUUUCUACGUGUGGGCCACAUAGUUAGCUUGAUCUUCAAGCUAACAACAUGUAUGGCACAUGGCCAACUUAUUGACCACGUUUUUAAUCCAAAAAGUCAAUUAAAAACACCUAUGAAGUCAAAGCAGCGUCUAGGAAAUUUCUAAGAAGCUUCUAUAUUAAAUAUUAUAGAAUUAACUUACUUUUACCUACUUUUACUUACUUCUACCUAUUUCUAUAUGUAAUUAUUAGCUUACAUCAUUAUGGCCGUGACAUUCCCCCCCCUUUUAGGGACGAGUUCCACGAGGAGCGGUCAUCAUAUGUUGAGAAAAUCUAUAAUGCGACGAAUUGUUUUUGCCACAUACUCUGAUCUCUGAUUUCUUCGAAGAUGAUUGAUAGGGCCUCUCAACGAUCGGUAGUGUCGUAUACGAGGGCGAAAAGACCACCUAGUUAUUUGGACAUUGUUGAGGCCUUCGUAACUUCCUUCGAAUAGAAUAUUUGAAACACCAUCAGAAGUUGUUCCUACCUCUAGCAAAAUCACCAAACAUCGGGAGUCCCUUCCUAAAUCGUGAUACCAAAUGCGUUGUAUCUCACCAUCUAUUUGAGGAAGAACAUGUCGUUCUUGAAGAUCUUCAUCUUGAUUGCGUCGUCUUGAAGGUUGUGACACUCGUAAUGUCCCGUUUGGUGGGUCAGCAAACAAAGGCUCUUGAGUUAAAUCGGUUGGUUGUUGGUUCUCCAUCUCCUGAGCGCCACUACUACAACGAAGCUACGAACAAGAAUUGAAAGUAGAAUGUUAUCUUGCCUACAUGUUGUUUCUUUUAUAAAGAAGGUUUUCAUCUUGAUUUUGAUGGAUGUUGUCGAUGACUUGAUUAUGGUGCCAAUGUCAAGGAAAAGAACUUGAUAAAAAAACAAUUCAAACAAGUGAGCCUUCACUCAAAGAAAGAUAACAAAAUAUAUAUAAACAAGUAUAUAUAUUGAAAGAAAAACUGGAAUGGCUAUUGCCAAAAGACAAGAAAACUAGAGACCCUUGAAACUAGACUAGAAGUAAGAAAGGAGUUGACAAGAGUGAAGAAGCCUUCACUCUUGUCUCUAUAUAUACUAUCUAACUAGGGGCUAUGUGGCAAGGUUCUAUAGGACCUCCAAUAUGUGUUGACUUUGUAGGACACAUGCCUUGACUUACGAGGCAAGUUUUUCUACGUGUGGGCCACAUAGUUAGCUUGAUCUUCAAGCUAACAACAUGUAUGGCACAUGGCCAACUUAUUGACCACGUUUUUAAUCCAAAAAGUCAAUUAAAAACACCUAUGAAGUCAAAGCAGCGUCUAGGAAAUUUCUAAGAAGCUUCUAUAUUAAAUAUUAUAGAAUUAACUUACUUUUACCUACUUUUACUUACUUCUACCUAUUUCUAUAUGUAAUUAUUAGCUUACAUCAUUAUGGCCGUGACAUUCACCCCCUUUUAGGGACGAGUUCCACGAGGAGCGGUCAUCAUAUGUUGAGAAAAUCUAUAAUGUGACGAAUUGUUUUUGCCACAUACUCUGAUCUCUGAUUUCUUCGAAGAUGAUUGAUAGGGCCUCUCAACGAUCGGUAGUGUCGUAUACGAGGGCGAAAAGACCACCUAGUUAUUUGGACAUUGUUGAGGCCUUCGUAACUUCCUUCGAAUAGAAUAUUUGAAACACCAUCAGAAGUUGUUCCUACCUCUAGCAAAAUCACCAAACAUCGGGAGUCCCUUCCUAAAUCGUGAUACCAAAUGCGUUGUAUCUCACCAUCUAUUUGAGGAAGAACAUGUCGUUCUUGAAGAUCUUCAUCUUGAUUGCGUCGUCUUGAAGGUUGUGACACUCGUAAUGUCCCGUUCGGUGGGUCAGCAAACAAAGGCUCUUGAGUUAAAUCGGUUGGUUGUUGGUUCUCCAUCUCCUGAGCGCCACUACUACAACGAAGCUACGAACAAGAAUUGAAAGUAGAAUGUUAUCUUGCCUACAUGUUGUUUCUUUUAUAAAGAAGGUUUUCAUCUUGAUUUUGAUGGAUGUUGUCGAUGACUUGAUUAUGGUGCCAAUGUCAAGGAAAAGAACUUGAUAAAAAAACAAUUCAAACAAGUGAGCCUUCACUCAAAGAAAGAUAACAAAAUAUAUAUAAACAAGUAUAUAUAUUGAAAGAAAAACUGGAAUGGCUAUUGCCAAAAGACAAGAAAACUAGAGACCCUUGAAACUAGACUAGAAGUAAGAAAGGAGUUGACAAGAGUGAAGAAGCCUUCACUCUUGUCUCUAUAUAUACUAUCUAACUAGGGGCUAUGUGGCAAGGUUCUAUAGGACCUCCAAUAUGUGUUGACUUUGUAGGGCACAUGCCUUGACUUACGAGGCAAGUUUUUCUACGUGUGGGCCACAUAGUUAGCUUGAUCUUCAAGCUAACAACAUUUAUGGCACAUGGCCAACUUAUUGACCACGUUUUUAAUCCAAAAAGUCAAUUAAAGACACCUAUGAAGUCAAAGCAGCGUCUAGGAAAUUUCUAAGAAGCUUCUAUAUUAAAUAUUAUAGAAUUAACUUACUUUUACCUACUUUUACUUACUUCUACCUAUUUCUAUAUGUAAUUAUUAGCUUACAUCAUUAUGGCCGUGACAUUCCCCCCCCUUUUAGGGACGAGUUCCACGAGGAGCGGUCAUCAUAUGUUGAGAAAAUCUAUAAUGCGACGAAUUGUUUUUGCCACAUACUCUGAUCUCUGAUUUCUUCGAAGAUGAUUGAUAGGGCCUCUCAACGAUCGGUAGUGUCGUAUACGAGGGCGAAAAGACCACCUAGUUAUUUGGACAUUGUUGAGGCCUUCGUAACUUCCUUCGAAUAGAAUAUUUGAAACACCAUCAGAAGUUGUUCCUACCUCUAGCAAAAUCACCAAACAUCGGGAGUCCCUUCCUAAAUCGUGAUACCAAACGCGUUGUAUCUCACCAUCUAUUUGAGGAAGAACAUGUCGUUCUUGAAGAUCUUCAUCUUGAUUGCGUCGUCUUGAAGGUUGUGACACUCGUAAUGUCCCGUUCGGCGGGUCAGCAAACAAAGGCUCUUGAGUUAAAUCGGUUGGUUGUUGGUUCUCCAUCUCCUGAGCGCCACUACUACAACGAAGCUACGAACAAGAAUUGAAAGUAGAAUGUUAUCUUGCCUACAUGUUGUUUCUUUUAUAAAGAAGGUUUUCAUCUUGAUUUUGAUGGAUGUUGUCGAUGACUUGAUUAUGGUGCCAAUGUCAAGGAAAAGAACUUGAUAAAAAAACAAUUCAAACAAGUGAGCCUUCACUCAAAGAAAGAUAACAAAAUAUAUAUAAACAAGUAUAUAUAUUGAAAGAAAAACUGGAAUGGCUAUUGCCAAAAGACAAGAAAACUAGAGACCCUUGAAACUAGACUAGAAGUAAGAAAGGAGUUGACAAGAGUGAAGAAGCCUUCACUCUUGUCUCUAUAUAUACUAUCUAACUAGGGGCUAUGUGGCAAGGUUCUAUAGGACCUCCAAUAUGUGUUGACUUUGUAGGGCACAUGCCUUGACUUACGAGGCAAGUUUUUCUACGUGUGGGCCACAUAGUUAGCUUGAUCUUCAAGCUAACAACAUGUAUGGCACAUGGCCAACUUAUUGACCACGUUUUUAAUCCAAAAAGUCAAUUAAAGACACCUAUGAAGUCAAAGCAGCGUCUAGGAAAUUUCUAAGAAGCUUCUAUAUUAAAUAUUAUAGAAUUAACUUACUUUUACCUACUUUUACUUACUUCUACCUAUUUCUAUAUGUAAUUAUUAGCUUACAUCAUUAUGGCCGUGACAUUCCCCCCCCUUUUAGGGACGAGUUCCACGAGGAGCGGUCAUCAUAUGUUGAGAAAAUCUAUAAUGCGACGAAUUGUUUUUGCCACAUACUCUGAUCUCUGAUUUCUUCGAAGAUGAUUGAUAGGGCCUCUCAACGAUCGGUAGUGUCGUAUACGAGGGCGAAAAGACCACCUAGUUAUUUGGACAUUGUUGAGGCCUUCGUAACUUCCUUCGAAUAGAAUAUUUGGAACACCAUCAGGAGUUGUUCCUACCUCUAGCAAAAUCACCAAACAUCGGGAGUCCCUUCCUAAAUCGUGAUACCAAAUGUGUUGUAUCUCACCAUCUAUUCGAGGAAGAACAUGUUGUUUUUGAAGAUCUUCAUCUCGAUUGCGUCGUCUUGAAGGUUGUGACAAUUGUAAUGUCUCGUCCGGUAGGUCAACAAAUGAAGGCUCUUGAGUUACCUAUAGAAGGUAGUAUAGAGAUUAGUCAAUAGUCAAGCAGUGUAUCAGUUUUUGAUUGCUGGAAUAUAUACAAUUGCAAGAAUACACCGUAAAUCUAUACGGAUGUCCUUUGACUGCUUGUCGAAGUCCUUUUUUGCCCGAACCCGUAGGUCUCUAGACGUUACAGACAACCCCGAACAACCCAAACUCUUAAUCUUCAAUACCGCUUUGUACUUAUGAUCUUGUAUCCACUGACAGUCUUGUUAGAUUAAUCCAAUAAAUUUUGUUCACUCCGCAAUAUCAAUCCUAUAGAUACCCUUUUAACUCUUCAUCACAGACGUAACUUGAUUUCACAAAACAGUCAAGAGUAAUCAAACCCACUUCAUUAAAAAUCCCGAUUCACCAUUACAACAUUGACUUCAGCAACGAUUGCCUCAGUCUUCCGAAAACCCAAUGAAGAAGAAAAACUCAAUUCUCUGUCUUUCCUUCCCCGAUCCGAAUCAUGAAGCUAGCUCUCUCUAAUCCCCCCUCUCAAAACACUUUCCUCCAAAACUAUAUCUCUCCCCUAACCUUAUCCUCUGAAUUUCUUCAAUCUUCGGUCUUAGAUCCGGAAUUGGCUCCCACCGUCAAGCUUGGAUCCGAAAUUGGCUCUCGCCGUCAAAGCUUUCUCCUCCGUUUUUACCUUUAAGAAUCCAUUUACCGGAAACAACGUUCCCUGAAACGGCACAGAGAAUAGGUCACCCUGAAACAGAAUCGAAACCCCGUACUCGAGUCUACAUUGAAUCGCCCGACCAAUUCAAGUCUCAUAUUGGAUAAGAGUCCAGUAGUAAGACCCGGAUGUUCCCGUAAUUGGAUCAAAUUGGUCCUUCGCAUCAGAUAGGCUGAGGCCCGUAGUAAGACCUCGAUUUUCCCGUUAUUAGACUGCAUUGGGUUGUCCGGCCAAUUCACGUCUCAUAUUGGGUAAGAGGACCCGGAUUGGAUUCUCGAAAUUGGAUCCAAUUGGCUCUUCGAACCAAGCUCAUCCGUCGUGUGAAUUGGUCCUUUUCUUUCUUGCUGAUUCCUGUUAUUGGAAUCGAAUGGAGCAUUUAAGUAUGCCCUGGCUGACUGUAACGGGGUGACUGAACCUGAUCACUCAGUAUUUGCACUGAAAUUGGUCGUCGCUCCCAAUAUUCGAGGUAACUGAAUAUUAAUAAAAGUCCUCUCUCUUUAUAUUUUCACGAUAUACUCGUCUUACAACACGACACCCGUAGAUGUAACCGAUAUGCAAUUGGGUUGAUCUGUUCAGAAACAGAAAAGGGACCAAGCCUACGAUAGUCCAACUUGUCACAAGGUCGAGUAGUCUUGAUAUUGUGACGAAGUAGCCAUACCUUAUCACCCACGUUGAUUUGUGGUUGCUCCUUACGAUAUACAUCUACGUUUAUCUUUUGUCGUUGUUGAGCUUCCUUCAAUUGCGUCUUCAUUAUUGCAUAUAACUCUGACAACCGAUUUGCCAUAUCUUUUGCUGCAGGAUUAUCAACUUUUGAAAAAUCAAAAGUAUCAAGUCGUGGAUGAUAGCCAUAAUUGGUAAAGAAAGGUGUUUGUUGCAUGGAAGAAUAUACCGUAUUAUUAUAAGCAAACUCUGCCAAUGGCAGAAGGGUUGUCCAAUCAUCUUGUUGGUAGUUGAUAGUACACCUUAAAUAUUGCUCCAAGACUUAGUUUACGUGCUCUGUUUGUCCAUCAGUUUGACGAUGGAAAGCCAAAGAUAGCUUUAUGUCCACUUUUAAAAUCUUGAAAAGGGUCCUCCAAAAUCUUGACACAAAUUGAGUUCUCCUAUCCGAUAUGAUAUCUUUAGGUAAUCCAUGAUAGCGAUAGAUAUUAUCAAUGAAAAGCUUAGUUGUUUCUUCACCUGUGAUAGAUUAUAUAUAUGACUCAAAAUGUGCCAUCUUGGUGAAACGAUCUACUAUCAUAAAUAUAGAAUCAUAAGAUCUUGAGCUUAGAAGAUCUGUGAUGAAAUCCAUAGAAACAGAAGACCAUGGUUGUUCUGGUAUAGGUAAUGGCUGAAGAAGUCCGUAAGGUCGAUGACGAGGAUUUUUUUGAUCUUGAACAAAUAUCACAUGAUUGUAUAAAGUCUUUCACUGACUUCCAUAUUUGUGGCCACCAAAAAUCUCUUGAUAUGAGUUCCAAAGUCUUAUUAUAUCCAAAGUGCCCUACUGCUAGAAAGUCAUGACGUGCUUGAAGAACACGUAAACGUGCUUCUCCUUCUGGAACAUAUAGGCGUCCUUCAAAAUAUAAUAGAUUAUUCUUGAACUCGAACUUAGAAGGAUCAUGAGACUUGGAAGAAUUAUUCUUGAUAUCAUGAACAAGAGGGUCUGAGGACAUACUCGACUGGAUUUGCUUGAGAAAAGUUGAAUCAACAGUCAAUGUUGAUUUCAUUGCUCGGAGAUGAAAUUGCUCCGAUUUCAAGAGGACCGAUCUUUGUUGCUCAAAAGCUGCAUCUCCUUCUUUUGGUGUAAAAUUAGAACGUCUAGAUAGGGCAUCGGACAAACCUUGUUGUUUUUCUGGCCGAUAAGUGAUAAUGAACUCGAAUCUUGACAAAAACAUACUCCAACGAGUUUGACGACGAUUCAAUACGCAUAUUGACAUGAAAUACCCGAGGUUCUUGUGAUCUGUAUACAUAGUGACUGGACUAGAAGCGCUUUCUAGAUAAUGACGCCAUUCUUGAAAGGAAUCCACGAUUACAAGAAGUUCUUUAUCGUGGAUCACAUAAUUGAUCUCGGCUGUUGAGAAUUUUCUUGAAUGAAAAGCUAUCGGAUGAAGUUUGUCAUCUGAUCCCAUUUGUGAUAAAACUGCACCGAAGGCAAAAUCUGAUGCAUCUGUUUCCAUAAAAAAUAUCUUGGAAAAGUCAACACGAUAUAAGACUGGUGCAGAGACAAACGAUGUCUUUAAGGCUUCAAAUGCUGCUUCCGCUUCUUGAUUCCAUUGGAAUUUAUCUUUAUUAGUUAAGCGUGUUAGUGGAGCUGCAACUCGUGAGAAAUCUUUGAUGAAGAUCCGAUAGUAAUUGGUAAAUCCCAAGAAACAUUGGACAUCUCUUACUGUCCUUGGAAUCUUCCAAUCCAUGAUUGUUUGGACUUUCUUAGAAUCCAUCAUGAGACCAUCAUUUGAAAUGAUAUAUCCUAAAAAGUCAACUUGAGUAGUGUGAAAUAUAUACUUUUCCAUCUUGGCAUACAAUCCUGCAUCUCUAAGUUUUUGUAAUACUUGACGAACAUAUAUUUCAUGUUCUUCGACGUUCUUAGAAUAGAUCAAGAUAUCAUCUAGAUAGCAGAUGACAAAAUUGUCUAAAAAUUCACAAAAUACAUCAUUCAUGAGAUGUUGAAAAGCAGCUGGUGCAUUCGUGAGUCCAAAAGGCAUGACAUUAUAUUCGAAAUGUCCAUACCUGGUUCAAAACGCAGUCUUCCAUUCAUCUCCUUCUUUGAUCCGUACUAGAUUAUAUACUCCUCUUAGAUCUAUUUUUGUAUAGAUCUUAGCUUGAUUCAACUGGUUAAGGAGUCUUGAUAUCAAAGGUAAUGGAUACCUGUUCUUGAUUGUGAUCUUGUUGAGUCCUCGAUAAUCAACACACUUUUGUAAAGAUCCAUCUUUAUUCUUUACGAAUAGAAUUGGAGCUCUUGCUGGAGAUUUUGAAUGGCGUAUGAAAUUCUUCGCUAAAUUCUCAUCAAUAUAUGUCUUGAGUUCAGUCAUCUCAUCUUGCGAUAAACUGUAAAUUGGUCCAAAUGGUGGCUGAGUUCCUUCCUUGAGGUCAAUUGAACAAUCAUAUGGACGAUGCUCAUGAAGAAUAUCUACAUUUUUUUUUCUCAAAAACGUCUUGAUAUUCUUGAUAUUGACUUGAAAUGCCACUUGAAGUCUUUACGUUUUCAGAAAUAGGUGCAGCAUAAAUAGCAAAAGUUGAUCCUUCUUUUGCUGCGUGUAUAAAUGCUUUUGCACCUAUCAGUAUGGGUUUUAUUAUACUAGACUUAUAAUUUUUUACUUGGUUGGUAGAACUAUUAGUAACGCUCUGGAAAAAGGUAAGUUUAUGCGAAUUCUAAUCUAUUUGAGGAUUAUAUUUUUGUAACCAGGAUAAACCUAAAAUAACUGGAUUGGACGGGGAUUUAAUUAUGUUAAAAGCUAUGUAGCUAUCAUGACCGUCUAUUGUUACUUUUAUAGGAUGAGUUUCAUGAGUGACAUCUCUAAAAGAUAAGGGACGACCAUCUAUGACUUCUACAUGUACUGGUUUAGGUUUCUGUACAAAAGGUAUUUUACGACUUUUAACAAAUUGUUCAUCUAAAAAACAUGCUGAAGCUCCCGAAUCUAAUAAAGUAGAGGCUUUGUAAUUCUUAGGUCCUAAAUAUAAGUCUAUUAUAAAACAAGGAGAGGGUUCUGAGGAGAGGAUAGGACCUUCAUUAGGAAUUGUACAAGGUUCCAGCUACAUGGUCUUUAUUAUAGCUGGACGAAUCCGUUUUCCGACAUGUUUUUUUCUUUGACCGUCGUACCCCUCAUUUUAUAGUUGCGUCGUUUCUUUGGACAAUGUUGAGUAGUGUGCUUAGGUUCUCCGCAAUAUAAACAUAAUCCUUCUUCAUAAUGAUGAAUCUUUUCUUGCUCUGUUAGGAAUUUAAAACGUACCGUGUCAAUUUGCAUGACUUCUAUAUUUGAAUGUACGUUUGGCAAAGAUGUUGAUAUUGCCAUUGAGUAAUAAUGUUGAAGUUCCCGUAAAUGAUUCUUGGAUCGAAAUUCAAAAAGUUGAUUAUCACAUUUUAUCGCAAAAUCGAUUGCUUGACUCAAAGUUUGAAGAUCAGGUAAGUUGAGCAUCAAUUUCUUUACUUCGUAUUGCAAUCCAUAAAAAAAUUGAUUGAUGAGUGCAGCAUCAUCCCACUUAAUGUCAAUUGCAAGUUGUCAAAAUUGUAAAGCAUACACUGUUAUUAAGCGAUUUCUUUGUCGCAGAAUUCGGAUCUUAUUUGUUGCAACACAAGUUGCAUCGUGUUCACCAUACAUAGAUCAAAACUCUGCCAAAAAAGCUUUCAAAUUUUCCAAUAUUGGAUUUCGUUGUUCAAGAAAAGAUGAAAACCACGAUAAUGCAGAACCAGAAAGUAGAGUGUCAAUAAAUCUGACUUGUGAUCUUGGAGUUGGAUAGCUUUGCAGUUGAAGUUCAAUUAUCAAUUGUACUUGAUUGAUGAACCCUCGAAACUUAGAUCUCAUACUAUCAAAUUUCUCGGAUAAAGUAAUUCUUGGUUCUCUAGUGCUUACAUGAUGUUGUACAAUUGGAGAAGGAACGUGAUUUGUUGUAGAUGUUGAAGCAGCUCCGAUCAUCUCUAUAUCCCCACUUUUUGCUAUUCUUGUUCUUUCAUGUGUUGGUGAAUUGAGUUGAUUCAUCGCAAGCAUUAACUCCCUCAUUUGCUCUUGCAUUUGUGCCAUUGCACUCUUCAUUUCAACAAGCUCUGCCAUAAUGAUACUAAGAAGAAAAAUUUGUUUGAUACUGCUCAAGAUAAAAGAAAAAAAAGACUUGAUAACAAAGAAGAUACUAAGAACAAUAUCAGUUUAGAAGUGGGUAAUCUGCAAACUUCUAAUACGCUUAUGUCUUGUCAAGAGAAAGGGAUAAUCCACUCUCAUUCAAGAAAAAUAAAGCUCUGAUAUUAUAAGUGCACUCUUGUCAAUCUGUCAAGGACAAGAACUUGAUGAAAAAAUAAUUCAGACAAGUGAGCCUUCACUCAAAGAAAGGUAACAAAAUGUAUAUAAACAAGUAUAUAUAUUGAAAGAGAAACUGGAAUGGCUAUUGUCAAAAGACAAGAAAACUAGAUACCCUUGAAACUAGACUAGAAGCAAGAAAGGAGUUGACAAGAGUGAAGAAGCCUUCACUCUUGUCUCUAUAUAUACUAUCUAACUAGGGGCUAUAUGGCGACGUUCUAUAGGACCUCCAAUAUGUGUUGACUUUGUAGGACACAUGCCUUGACUUACAAGGCAAGUUUUUCUACGUGAAGGCCACAUAGUUAGCUUGAUCUUCAAGCUAACAACAUGUGUGGCACAUGGCCAACUUGUAGACCACGUUUCUAAUCCAAAAAGUCAAUUAAAGACACCUAUGAAGUUAGAGCAGUGUCUAGGAAGUUUUUAGGAAGCUUCUAUAUCAAAUAUUAUAGAGUUAACUUACUUUUAUUUACUUUUACUUACUUCUACCUAUUUCUACAUAUAAUUAUUAGCUUACAUGAUUAUGGCCGUGACAGCCAAUCUUAGUGCUAAUCCAUAGGGAAUAGAUAAUAUUAUCUCAUUGCAGGCUGUACUACCAACAAUAGUAAUUUUAUAUUUAUUAUAUCUCAUCUAUCAAAAAUCAGUAUCCACAAAAGAAUUAUCUAAUGAAAUAAUUUUGAAGGAUCCAAAUGAAGCCUUGUUGUUAACUUUGACAAAGAAGAUGGACGAAUUGGUUGUUAAUCUGACAAAAGAUAUGAAAAAGAAGCAUAAACCGACCAAUAUGCAUUCCAAUAUUUGGUGUAGUUAUUGUAAAGGAUAAGACCAUAUGGUAACGGAAUGUUCUUCACCACCUUAAAUAAUUGUGUAAUGUACAUUUUGUGGAGGUAAUCAUGCCACCAUCAAUUAUUAAAAUUUACAAAAUCAACAACAAUUUGAAGGUGUAUUCGUUAUCUUAUAGUAAGCAAAAUUAAUGUCUAGAAGAAGGGAUCUCAUAGAGUGCAUGAGAGGAGGAAAGCACUGAUUUUCUAUAAGGUAGUGUAUUCCUUCCCUCUAGUUUUGUGGCGUCAAAAGAAUUACUAUUAGGAUUGAACUUGGCACCAACUGAAUCGAAUGAAGAAUGUGAACAGUUGGAGAGACAUAUUAUGAAGACGGAUGAAAAGUCUUUGGAGUCAAAAGGAGUCAGCAUAGGUGGACAAGGCUUCAAUCUCUUGCACAUAUUGCUCAUGUUACUUAUGGAGGAAGAAUGGUGAGACCUGCUUGGUAAGAAAGUAACUGCUUCUGACAUUCUGGGUAUCAACUUUCGUCUUCUUGAGGUAAUUUUUACUAAUUUGCACUCCUAACUCUUCCCUACAUAUGACUAUAUCCUAUAUCCUUUUUAAUCUACCUUGUUUUGCCUUAUUUAUGGCCUUAUAAAGUAAAGAAAAGCAUAAUUUGCAAAUAGGCAAUAUUAGCUCCUUAAAUUUUUCUAUCCUUUGACUAGUAAUUAUUUUUCCAAGAUAAUUUGCAACAAUAUUUUUGAAGUAAGACCCUCAAAACAUGAUAUUCUCUUCACCCUUUCACUUAUUAUCCAUGUUACAUCAUGACAUCCACCCCUCCUGAACUUGUGCAUCCUCCGGUAUGCACCAAAUAAUCCAACUUUGUUUGAUUCAUACAAUAUUUUCAAUGUCCUCAUUCAACUCUUCUUCUUCAUAUUCGCUAUUCAAAUCAAAGUCAUCUUGUUGUCUUGUAAGAUUUAUAUAUUUGACAAAGUCUUCUAUAAUUAUUUAUAUUUUCUUUUAUUUGAAUAUCUUCACUCGCUUCGAUUAUCAUCCUUUAAUCCAAUAUAUGCAAUUUCGUUCAAAAAUCUUCCAAUCCAUUUUCUUGAUAAAUACCAAAAAUCUUUUAUCAUCUUUUAAUAUUCAUAACUCACAUUAUAUAUAUAUAUAUAUAUAUAUAUAUAUAUAUAUUUUUGAAUUCGAAUAAACUUGAAUCAAAAGUACCUACAUCUUAUAAGAGUAUCUCCUUUUCAUACCUCCAUAGUAUCGCUUUACAAUGAUACUUCUCCAUUUUUUAUUUCUAUUAUUAUUUUUUUUUAUAAUAAAACUAAUAUCAAAGUAUCAAAGGCACCUAUAUCUUGUAAAUGUACCUUCCUUUUUAUACCUUCAUAGUCUUGCUUUACAAUAAUACUUCUCCAAAAUCUCCUCUUUUUUUUCUUUUUUUUUUGAAUAAAACUUAAAUCAAAGGCAUCUAUAUCUUGUAAAUGUACCUUUUUUUUUAUAAUUCCAUAGUUUUGCUUUACAAUGAUACUUCUCCAAAUUUUUUUUUUUUUUUCCAAUAAAAUUAAAAUCAAAGGCAUUUAUAUCUUGUAAGAGUACCUCCCCCUUUUAUACCUCCAGUCUUGUUUUAGAAUGAUACUUCUCCAAAAUAUCCAUAUAUAUAUAUAUAUAUAUAUAUAUAUAUAUAUACAUAGUUCAAUACCAAUGUUUCCAUUUACUCCUCAUGUACAAGUAAUUUGCAAAUAUCCUCCUUUGCACAUGACGAAACCAUUGGCGAGGUACAAAAUUUGAAAUGAUAAGAUUGAAUUGAAACCUCUUCCACAUAGCCUCAUACAUCUUGUUUGUAUCAUUUUUCUUAUUUCUUUGAUUUCAAGUCCCAUAUGAGAUGUCCAUGUAAUCUUUAAAUCUAUUUUUCAUAUCUUUAUAUUUGAAGAUUUUUAGAUUUUUAACCCUUGAAUUCCAUAUUUGAUGAUAAACCUCAUCUUUGUCAAAAUCCAAUUGUGUCUCCUUUACACAUGCAUUAUCUAUGUAACUUUGACCUUGAUUCAAAAGAAAAGUGCUUACAAUUAACUUAAUCAUUGUCAAUGACUUAGCAUCCUUAUCCUUUGUCCCAUAAUCUUCAUUUGCCACAUAAUCUUGUAUAAUAUCCCUCAUAUCUUCUUGAAUGCAUCCUUGUGAAACAUCAUAAUCUUGUGUUGUUUCAAAGCAUUGUAUAACUUCAUAAUAUUGAAAAUUCUCAUGCCCUUUUGAAAUCUCAUGCUCUUGAAAAGUCCCAUAAUUUUCACAAUAACCCUUUGUGGUUUCACAACCACAUUUAGUAUCGUAAUCUUAUACAAUUUCAUAAUCCUUUUUAUGAUAAUCAUGUGAAAAUUCAUAAUUGUUUUUACCCAACUCAUAUGUGGUCUCAUAGCCAUAUGCAAUUUGACUUUCUUCGUCAUAUCCUGUCAAGGACAAGAACUCGUUGAAAGCUAAAGAGUAAGUGAGACUUUUCUCAAAAAGAAAUAGGACAAAAUAGAAAUAUGUAUAUUAAGAAAGAAACUGGAAUGGCUAUUGCCAAAAUACAAAAAAACUAGAGACCCUUGAAACUAGACUAGAAGCAAUAAAGGAGUUGACAAGAGUGAAGAAGGCUUCACUCUUGCCUCUAUAUAUACUAUCUAACUAGAAGCCACGUGGCGAUGUUCUAUAAGACCUCCAAUAUAUGUUGACUUUUUAGGCCACAUGCCUUUGCUUGCAAGGCAAGUUUUCUAUAGAUGGACCACGUAGUUAGCUUGUUCUUUAAGCUUCCAACAUGUGUGGCACAUGGCUAACUUGUUGACCAAGUUUCUAACCUAAAAGCCAACUAUAGACUCCUAUAAAGUCAAAGCAGCGUCUAUAAAGCUUCUAAGAAGCUUCUCUAGAAGAUAUUACACAAUUAACCUACUUUUAUCUACUUUUACAUACUUUUAUCUAUUCAUAUAUUUAAUUAUAUGUAUGUCCGUGACAUUACCCCUCUUUUUAGAGACGAGUUCCACGAGGAGCGGUGAUUAUAUAUUGAGAAAGUCUAAUAUGCGACGAAUUGUAUUUGCUACAUACUCUGAUCUUUGUUCUCUUCGAAGAUAGUUGAUGGGUCUUCUUAGCCAUCGAUAGUGUCCCUUUCCAGGGCAAGAAGACCACCCUGUUAUUUGAUCACUGUUGAGGCCUUCAUAACUUCCUUCAAAUAAUACAUUUGAAACACCAUCAGGAGUCGUUCCUAUCUCCAAUAAUAUCACCAAACAUUGAGAAUCUCUUCCAAGGUCGUGAUACCAAACGCGUUGUAUCUCACCAUCUUUUCGAGGAAGAACAUGUCGUUCUUGAGGGUCUUCAUCUCGGUUGUGUCGUCUUGAAGGUUGUGACAAUCGCAAUGUCUCAUCCGGUAAGUCAGCAAACGAAGGUUCUUGAGUUGAAUCCGCUGGUUGUUGGCUCUCCAUCUAAUUAGCGUCACAAAAUGCAAAGAAGUUACAAACAAGGAUAGGAAAUUGAAUGUUAUCUUGCCUCAAUCUUGUCUCUUUUAUAAGAGAGGUUUUCAUCUUGAUUUUGAUGGAUGUCGUUGAUGAAAAACUUUGACUUUAGCUGAUGCAUUUGCUAGAUUCCUGGAUGGCUCCCAUGUGCGCUCACUAAUAUCAUAUCCGCACCAAUGAACAAGAUAUUCCAACUUAUUUCGGUACCGCCUUGAGUCUAAUAUCUCUUCCACCUCAAAUUCUUCAUUAUUAUCUACUUUUAUAGGAGGCGGUGGCAUUUGUCUUCUUCUUUGUAUAUCCACUAUCUUAUAUAGUUCAAGAAGAGACACGUGGAAUACAGGAUGGAUCUUCAUUGACUCCGAUAAAUGUAACCGAUAUGCAACUGGGUUGAUCUGUUCAGAAACAAAAAAGAGGCCAAGCCUACGAUAGUCCAAUUUGUCACAAGGUCGAGUGGUCUUGAUAUUGCGACGAAGUAGCCAUACCUUAUCACCCACGUUGAGUUGUGGUUGUUUUUUACGAUAUACAUCUGCAUUUAUCUUUUGUCGUUCUUGAGCUUUCUUCAACUGCGCCUUCAUUAUUGCAUGUAACUCUGACAACCGAUUUGCCAUAUCUUCUGCUGCAGGAUUAUCAACUUUUGAAAAAUCAAAAGUAUCAAGUCGUGGAUGAUAGUCAUAAUUGGCAAAGAAAGGUGUUUGUUGCGUGGGAGAAUGUACCGUAUUUUUAUAAGCAAACUCUGCCAAUGGCAGAAGGUUUGUCCAAUCAUCUUGUUGGUAGUUGAUGGUACACCUUAAAUACUGUUCCAAGACUUGGUUUACGCGCUCUGUUUGUCCAUCAGUUUGAGGAUGGAAAGCUGAAGAUAGCUUUAUGUCCACUUUUAAAAUCUUGAAAAGAGUCUUCUAGAAUCUCGACACAAAUUGAGUUCCCCUAUCCGAUAUGAUAUCUUUAGGUAAUCCAUGAUAGCGAUAGAUAUUAUCAAUGAAAAGCUUAGUUGUUUCUUCACCUGUGAUAGAUUUUGUACAUGGCAUAAAAUGUGCCAUCUUGGUGAAACGAUCUACUAUCACAAAUAUAGAAUCAUAAGAUCUUGAGUUUGGAAGAUCUGUGAUGAAAUCCAUAGAAACAGAAGACCAUGGUUGUUCUGGUAUAGGUAAUGGCUGAAGAAGUCCGUAAGGUCGAUGUCGAGGAAUUUUUGAUCUUGAACAAAUAUCACAUGAUUGUACAAAGUCUUUGACUGACUUCCACAUUUGUGGCCACCAAAAAUCUCUUGAUAUGAGUUCCAAAGUCUUAUUAUAUCCAAAGUGCCCUACUGCUAGAAAGUCAUGACGUGCUUGAAGAACACGCAAACGUGCUUCUCCUUCUGGAACAUAUAGGCGUCUUUCAAAAUAUAAUAGAUUAUUCUUGAACUCGAAUUUAGAAGAAUCAUGAGACUUGGAAGAAUUAUUCUCGAUAUCAUGAACAAGAGGGUCUGAGGACAUACUGGACUGGAUUUGCUUGAGAAAAGUUGAAUCAACAGUCAAUGUUGAUUUCACUGCUCGGAGAUGAAAUUGCUCCGGUUUCAAGAGGACCGUUCUUUGUUGCUCAAAAGCUGCAUCUCCUUCUUUUGGUGUAAAAUAAGAACGUCUAGACAGGGCAUUGGACAAACCUUGUUGUUUUCCUGGCCGAUAAGUGAUAAUGAAGUCGAAUCUUGACAAAGACAUACUCCAACGAGCUUGACGACAAUUCAACACGCUUGCUGACAUGAAAUACUCGAGGUUCUUGUGAUCUGUAUACACAAUGACUGGACUAGAAGCGCCUUCUAGAUAAUGACGCCAUUCUUGAAAGGAACCCACGAUUGCAAGAAGUUCUUUAUCGUGGAUCUCAUAAUUGAUCUCGGUUACUGAGAAUUUUCUUGAAUGAAAAGCUAUCGGAUGAAGUUUGUCAUCUGUUCCCAUUUGUGAUAAAACUGCACCCAAGGCAAAAUCCGAUGCGUCUGUUUCCAUAAAAAAUACCUUGAAAAAGUCAACACAAUAUAAAACUGGUGCAGAGACAAACGAUGUCUUCAAGGCUUCAAAUGCUGCUUCCUCUUCUUGAUUCCAUUGGAAUUUAUCUUUACUAGUCAAGCGUGUAAAUGGAGCUGCAACUCGUGAGAAGUCUUUGAUGAAGAUCCGAUAGUAAUUGGCAAAUCCCAAGAAACAUUGGACAUCUCUUACAGUCUUUGGAAUCUUCCAAUCCAUGAUUGUUUGGACUUUCUUAGAAUCCAUCAUAAGACCAUCAUUUGAAAUGAUGUAUCCUAAAAAGUCAACUUGAGUAGUGUGAAAUACACACUUUUCCAUCUUGGCGUACAAUCCUGCAUCUCUGAGUUUUUGUAAUACUUGACGAACAUGUAUUUCAUGUUCUUCAACAUUCUUAGAAUAAAUCAGGAUAUCGUCUAGGUAGCAGACGACAAAAUUGUCUAAGAAUUCACGAAAUACAUCAUUCAUGAGAUGUUUGAAAAGCAGCUGGUGCAUUCGUGAGUCCAAAAGGCAUGACAUUAUAUUCAAAAUGCCCGUACCUGGUUCAAAACGCAGUCUUCCAUUCAUCUCCUUCUUUGAUCCGUACUAGAUUAUAUGCUCCUCUUAGAUCUAUUUUUGUAUAGAUCUUAGCUUGAUUUAACUGGUCAAGGAGUCCUGAUAUCAAAGGUAAUGGAUACCUGUUCUUGAUUGUGAUCUUGUUGAGUCCUCGAUAGUCAACACACAUUCGUAAAGAUCCAUCUUUUUUCUUUACGAAUGAAAUUGGAGCUCCUGUUGGAGAUUUUGAAUGGCGUAUGAAAUUCUUCGCUAAAUUCUCGUCAAUAUAUGUCUUGAGUUCAGCCAACUCAUCUUGCGAUAAACUAUAAAUUGGUCCAAAUGGUGGCUGAGUUCCUUCCUUGAGAUCGAUUGAACAAUCGUAUGGGCGAUGCUCAGGAAGAAUAUCUGCAUUCUUUUUCUCAAAAACGUCUUGAUAAUCCUGAUAUUGACUUGGAAUGCCACUUGAAGUCUUUACGCUUUCAGAAAUAGGUGCAGCAUAAAUAGCAAAAGUUGAUCCUUCUUUUGCUGCGUGUAUAAAUGCUUUUGCACCUAUAAGUGCGAGUUUUACUAUACUAAACUCAUGGUUUUUUACUUGAUUAAUAGAACUGUUACUAAUGCUCCGAGGAAAAUCAAGUUUACGAGAAAUCCAAUCUAUUCGAGGAUUAUACUUUUCUAACCAUGAUAAGCCUAAAAUUAUUGGAUUAGAGGGAGAUCUAAUUAUAUUAAAAAUUACGCAACUACUAUGACCAUUUAUUACUACAUCUACAAGAAGUGUUUCGUGAGUUACAUCUCCAGAAGCUAACGGACGACCAUCUAUGACUUCUACGUGUACAGGUUUAGUUUUUUGUAUUAAUGAUAUUCUAUGACAUCUAGCAAAUUCUUCAUCUAAAAAACAAGAUGAGGCUCCUGAAUCUACUAAGGUAGAGGCUUUGUAAUUAUUAGGUCCUAAACGCACAUCUAUUAUAAAACAAGGAGAUGGUUCUGAGGAGAGGAUAGGACCUUCAUUAGAAGUUGUACAAGAUUCCAGCCGCACGGUCCCUAUUGUAGCUGGACGUAUUCGUUUUCCGACAUACUGUCUUCUUUGACAGCCGUACUCCUCAUUUUGUAGUUACGUUGCUUCUUUGGACAAUGUUCAGCAGUGUGCUUAGGUUCUCCACAAUAUAAGCACAAUCCUUCUUGUCGACGACGAGACUUUUCUUGCUCAGUAAGAGGUUUGAAACGUACCGCAUCAAUUUGCAUAUCCUCUACUUCUAAAGGUAUGUGUUGAAGAGACGUCGGUGUUGCUAUUGAAUUGUAGUAACGUUGAGGCCCACUUGUGCGACUCUCGGAUCGAAAUUCAAAAAGUCGAUUGUCGCACUUCACAGCAAAGUCAAUUGCUUGACUCAAUGUUUGAGGAUCUGGUAAAUUAAGCAUCAAUUUCUUUACCUCAUAUUGUAAUCCAUAGAGAAAUUGACUCACAAGUGCGGCAUCAUCCCACUUGAUAUCAGUUGCAAGUUGUCGAAAUUGUGAAGCAUAUAAUGUUACUGAUCGAUUGCCUUGUCGCAAAAUACGGAUCUUGUUGGUUGCAACACGAAUUGCAUCAUGUUCUCCAAACAUGGAUCAAAACUCCGCUAAAAAAGCCUCCAGAUUAUCCAAUAUUGGAUCUCGUCGUUCAAGAAAAGAUGAAAACCAUGACAAUGCUGAACCUGAAAGAAGUGUACCAAUGAAUUUAACUUGUGACCCUGGAGUUGGAUAGCUCUGGGGUUGAAGUUCAAUCACUAGUUGGACCUGAUUGAUGAAUCCUCGAAACUUGGAUCUGGUACCAUCAAACUUCUCGUGCAAGGCAACUCUCGGUUCUCUAACACUCGAAGGGUGUUCCAUUCUGGGAGAAGGGACAUGGUUUGGUGCAGAUGUUGAAGCAGCCCCAAUCAUCUCUAUAUCUUCACUUCCUACCAUUCUUGUUGCUCCUUGUGGUGGUAAAUUGAGUUGAUGCAUCGCAAGCAUUAACUCCCUCAAUUGUUCUUGCAUCUGUGCCAUUGCACUCUUCAUUUCAACAAGCUCUGCCAUAGUAGCACUUAGAAAAGAGAAGAUGUCUAAUAACGCUCAAAACAAAUAGAAGAGAGGAAUUGAUAACAAAGAAAAUACUAAGAACAAUAUCAGUUUAAAAGAGGGUAAUCCGCAACUUCUAAUGCGCUUAUGUCUUAUCAAGAAAAAGGGGUAAUCCACUCUUAAUCAAGAAAAGACAAAGCUCUGAUAUUGUAAGAGUACUCUUGUCAAUCUGUCAAGGACAAGAACUCGAUGAAAGCUAAAGAGUAAGUGAGACUUUUCUCAAAAAGAAAUAGGACAAAAUAGAAAUAUGUAUAUUAAGAAAGAAACUGGAAUGGCUAUUGCCAAAAUACAAGAAAACUAGAGACCCUUGAAACUAGACUAGAAGCAAGAAAGGAGUUGACAAGAGUGAAGAGGGCUUCACUCUUGCCUUUAUAUAUACUAUCUAACUAGAAGCCACGUGGCGAUGUUCUAUAAGACCUCCAAUAUAUGUUGACUUUCUAGGCCACAUGCCUUUGCUUGCAAGGCAAGUUUUCUAUGGAUGGACCACGUAGUUAGCUUGUUCUUUAAGCUUCCAACAUGUGUGGCACAUGGCUAACUUGUUGACCAAGUUUCUAACCUAAAAGUCAACUAUAGACUCCUAUAAAGUCAAAGCAGCGUCUAUGAAGCUUCUAAGAAGCUUCUCUAGAAGAUAUUACACAAUUAACCUACUUUUAUCAACUUUUAUAUACUUUUAUCUAUUCAUAUAGGUAAUUAUAUGUAUGUCCGUGACAUUAUCAUGGCUUUGCUUUGAUUAGCACUGACUUUGGCUAGUAACCUUUGCAUGGUGUCUUUAGUUGCAUUUCAUUCUAUUGCAUGAUGCACACAAAAAGUAUAAUAAAAUUUCAAACAAUUCUAGAACUUACCAAAGUCUUCUAUAAUUAUUUAUAUUUUCUUUUAUUUGAAUAUCUUCACUCGCUUCGAUUAUCAUCCUUUAAUCCAAUAUAUGCAAUUUCGUUCAAAAAUCUUCCAAUCCAUUUUCUUGAUAAAUACCAAAAAUCUUUUAUCAUCUUUUAAUAUUCAUAACUCACAUUAUAUAUAUAUAUAUAUAUAUAUAUAUUUUUGAAUUCGAAUAAACUUGAAUCAAAAGUACCUACAUCUUAUAAGAGUAUCUCCUUUUCAUACCUCCAUAGUAUCGCUUUACAAUGAUACUUCUCCAUUUUUUAUUUCUAUUAUUAUUAUUUUUUUAUAAUAAAACUAAUAUCAAAGUAUCAAAGGCACCUAUAUCUUGUAAAUUUACCUUCGUUUUUAUACCUUCAUAGUCUUGCUUUACAAUAAUACUUCUCCAAAAUCUCCUCUUAUUUUUUUUUUUUCUUUUUAAAUAAAACUUAAAUCAAAGGCAUCUAUAUCUUGUAAAUGUACCUUUGUUUUUAUAAUUCCAUAGUUUUGCUUUACAAUGAUACUUCUCAAAAAUAAUUUUUUUUUUUUCCAAUAAAAUUAAAAUCAAAGGCAUUUAUAUCUUGUAAGAGUACCUCCCCCUUUUAUACCUCCAGUCUUGUUUUAGAAUGAUACUUCUCCAAAAUAUCCAUAUAUAUAUAUAUAUAUAUAUAUAUACAUAGUUCAAUACCAAUGUUUCCAUUUACUCCUCAUGUACAAGUAAUUUGCAAAUAUCCUCCUUUGCACAUGACGAAACCAUUGGCGAGGUACAAAAUUUGAAAUGAUAAGAUUGAAUUGAAACCUCUUCCACAUAGCCUCAUACAUCUUGUUUGUAUCAUUUUUCUUAUUUCUUUGAUUUCAAGUCCCAUAUGAGAUGUCCAUGUAAUCUUUAAAUCUAUUUUUCAUAUCUUUAUAUUUGAAGAUUUUUAGAUUUUUAACCCUUGAAUUCCAUAUUUGAUGAUAAACCUCAUCUUUGUCAAAAUCCAAUUGUGUCUCCUUUACACAUGCAUUAUCUAUGUAACUUUGACCUUGAUUCAAAAGAAAAGUGCUUACAAUUAACUUAAUCAUUGUCAAUGACUUAGCAUCCUUAUCCUUUGUCCCAUAAUCUUCAUUUGCCACAUAAUCUUGUAUAAUAUCCCUCAUAUCUUCUUGAAUGCAUCCUUGUGAAACAUCAUAACCUUGUACUGUUUCAAAGCAUUGUAUAACUUCAUAAUAUUGAAAAUUCUCAUGCCCUUUUGAAAUCUCAUGCUCUUAAAAAGUCUCAUAAUUUUCACAAUAAUCCAUUGUGGUUUCACAACCACAUUUAGUAUCGUAAUCUUAUACAAUUUCAUAAUCCUUUUUAUGAUAAUCAUGUGAAAAUUCAUAAUUGUUUUUACCCAACUCAUAUGUGGUCUCAUAGCCAUAUGCAAUUUGACUUUCUUCGUCAUAUCCUGUCAAGGACAAGAACUCGUUGAAAGCUAAAGAGUAAGUGAGACUUUUCUCAAAAAGAAAUAGGACAAAAUAGAAAUAUGUAUAUUAAGAAAGAAACUAGAAUGGCUAUUGCCAAAAUACAAGAAAACUAGAGACCCUUGAAACUAGACUAGAAGCAAGAAAGGAGUUGACAAGAGUGAAGAGGGCUUCACUCUUGCCUCUAUAUAUACUAUCUAACUAGAAGCCACGUGGCGAUGUUCUAUAAGACCUCCAAUAUAUGUUGACUUUCUAGGCCACAUGCCUUUGCUUGCAAGGCAAGUUUUCUAUGGAUGGACCACGUAGUUAGCUUGUUCUUUAAGCUUCCAACAUGUGUGGCACAUGGCUAACUUGUUGACCAAGUUUCUAACCUAAAAGUCAACUAUAGACUCCUAUAAAGUCAAAGCAGCGUCUAUGAAGCUUCUAAGAAGCUUCUCUAGAAGAUAAUACACAAUUAACCUACUUUUAUCUACUUUUACAUACUUUUAUCUAUUCAUAUAGGUAAUUAUAUGUAUGUCCGUGACAUAUCCAUGCAUAAUCCCACCACUUUUUACAUCAUAAUAUUAUGAAUUCAUACAAUUUUUAUGAUUAUAACCUUUAAUAGAUUCAUAAUCUAUUUUUUAUAAAGGUUCAACUUUAAUUUCUUCAACACAAUCCAAAGUAUUAGGCAAAACAUCCUCACAACCUUCAAAUGUAGGAAACGUCUUUUUAUCACCAAGAGAUUUUUCAUCCAAACUGCCACCACAAACUUGUAUAAACUUAUUCAAUAUAGAAUAGCCAUAGCUUCCAACCGCAUUGUCAUUUGUUUCCAAAUCCUUGAUCUUCAUAUUACCUUCAAAUUUUUGGAUACCUUCGCCUUCCAUAGUAAUAGUUUUAAAAGAAUCUUUGUUCUCUCCUUCACUACCCUUGCUAUAAGAUCCAAUUUCUUUCAACUAUAAAAAUUUGGCUUUUCCAUUAAAAUCUUCCAUUUGCUCUUUCAUUUUUCUUUUUUUUAAGAUUAGUCCAUUGUAUUGAUAAAGAUGGCAUAGAAGCCAAAGUAGAAUAUUUCUUGGGCCAUAUUGCAACUCCUUUAGCUUUUGCUUCUUGCUGCCUUGCUAAAUCAACCACUACUUCCUUCAUUUUGUUCCAAUUAUUGAUACAAUCAUCUCCUACAGACUCAUCUACAAGAAGUAUGAAAAAUUCGUCUCCCAAGGCAUCAUCAAAGCUAUUUAAAAACAAAUCUAUCUUUAAAAUAUCCAAUGAUUGUCUCUUUGAGGGUGACAAUUGAUAACAUCUCCUAUCAAAUUCUUCUAAGAAUUCAUAAAGAUCCAUAUGCUUGCCUGAUUGAAACUCUAUCCAAUUCAAAAACUUUCGCUUAAUAAUCCUACCUUCAUAUCCAUCAAUAAAUUCUUUCUUCAAAAGUUCUUGAAAUUUUGACCAUGUUUCUAUACCUCCUUCAAGCAAUCCCUUCAUCUUUUUCUAAAAUCUAGGUUCAAAAGCCAAAUAUAAGCUUGAAAUUAUCUUUGCCUUAGGGAUUUGGCAUGUCUCCAUCUUACAUGUAUAAACUUGUAAAAACUUAGUGAUGUUGCAUCCUUCAAACCUCUCAAGUUUGUUGAUGACUCCUUGCAAUUCUUUUGUGAUAUCUUUUUCAAUUGCUUGCAUUCUUUGUUGUUCCUCCAUGAAUAUAUAGAAAGCUUUAAAAAACUCACUAAUAUUUGACCCAUCCAUAAUAUUCGGCAUAUCCAAAAACCUUGAUAAUACAUCUACCAUUUUGUUCUAUAAUGAUCAAAAAUGUUCCUUGAAAUGCUCCAAAUGGUACAUCAAAAUGCUCCAAUAAAUACCUUAUGAUACUUCACAAUGCUCCAACAUACCUAUAAAGCCUUAUAAUACUCCAUGAUAAUCCAAAUAUUGCCAUUGUAUUUAAAGAUAGUAUCAAAAGCUCUAAGAAUUCAAAAGCUCUAAUUCACAUAUCACCCAAAGCUCUUCUUCCAACUUUCUUGUCUUUCUUCUUCAAAAUUCAAAUAAUCCAAGAAAACCAAAUUCCUUCCAGAUGCCUAUGUCGCAGGAUGUGCAAGCGUAGCAUACAAUUUGGCGGUGGACCUCGUUCUUACCCGCGGCGAUGCACGAUGCAGAGGCGCCUCGAGAUGACGCGUUGGGUGGGGUGUACCAGAGGAGCCACAGCUUUUGGGGGUAGGGUUUAGGGUUGCACAAAUUCAACAAUUUCUUUUGAAGCCCGCCGAGGUCGUCGAUGUCCAAGGGUGAGUUUUUGGGAUUUCGGAUGGCAAACGAGGAGUCGCGGAUCGAGGCGAGGAGCGGUGAAGGGGGCUUUUAUGAGGAGGCAGGAAGGGAGCAAGUCGAACGGACAUGCGAGGGUUGAAGUUGGGAUCGGCAUCAGUGCUGGGGGCCGAGAAACCUGGUCGUGAGGAUUACAGACAUUUUUUGAUGCGUCGUUCAACAAUUUUGUGUCAUCGAAUAAUGAGGACGAGGAGGCAUGGGCAGUGAUAGACAUGUACGGGUGCAAUGAGUUUCGGAUGUUGGAAUUCUAGGUGAGGCGAUGUAUGAGAGGGAGGAGCCAUGAUUGGACGGAGGGCCCAUUUGCCCACCCGGGCGAGAAAGCUAGGCGUUGGAAUCCGCGGCGGUAUGAGGACUUGGGGAGAGCAUGUAUGGAGUUUCGAAAAAGGGAGCUCUCGGAGAGGCGAUGCUUGCGAGUUUGGGUGCAUUUAACUAUUUGAGUAUUGGCUGCAUUUGGCUAGGUACUUGGACUCAGCCGUGGAAGGAUGGGCAGAAUUAGCAUCGUGGAGUGUGGUUUUUGGUGCAUACGUCGGAGCAGCUGCAGUGGAUGCCUUGGGCGGCACAGGAGGCACAGGAAGCGACGACAAGAGAUCGGAGCACAAGGCGUCACGAAGGGUUGCAGCGAGCCGGUGCAUCGGGAAGCUACGAUCGAGCGUCGAGGUACAAGGACUUGUCUUACGACGGACCAUGGAAACGUGACGGUCUGAGCCAGUCGUUGGAGCAUUCGAGGUCGACCCAGUGGAGUGCAGGGUGUGCAACAUUGUAGAAUUCAUUGCCUAGGUCGAUGCUGGUCGGGCUCGCACAGUACCCGCUGCCGCUGAGCCCUCUGUUGUUGGGGUCGGUUGAGCAAUGGACGUGAGUGCGGGGUGAUUAACGAGCGUGUCGAUGUCUGAUUUUGCAGAAUCUAUAAUGUGAGUAUAGGCGACAUUGCAAUAAGCGGCGUAGUCUCGAAGGCUGCACUCACGGAUGCAUCAGAGGUACGCAACUUGGUCGCCUGCGAGAGUCUUGCAGAAGUCAAAGAUGGAGCUGAUAUUGACUCCGUCAACUAUGAUCCUGAUGGAAGGAGAGCCAGUGGUGUAGCAGGUGGAGAGCGGGCAAAGACAUAGGGGAGAGCAACCUGAAGGACUCUUUGGAGCUGGACUAGGUGAACUACUUAUCUCUGGGGGAUUGCUUUGAGUAAGUAGUGUUCUGUACGCAUUUAGACUCCAUACACAGUUGUUUGAUGAGAAACAAUAUGCAAGUGAGAACUAUAAACAGGGUCUGGAGACCCUAAUUAGGGUUUUCAAACCCUAAAUUAUAGAAAACGAAACACAUUUUUUUGAAAAACAAAAACGUUUGUAGAGGUCUUUGGGUGAUUCUAAGCCUUGGCAAAAUCUUAAAACAUAAAAAGCUGUGAUAUAUUGAGAGAUAUUGAGGAUGGAAAACCUCUAGGACACCCAUGUAACCCUAAACCCUAAAACCUAAACCCUAAACCUGGUCCCAGAAAUAUGACAGUACACAUCUCCCGCGAUCGUUGUGAAAUGGGCAGAGUCGCCCGAGAAAUGCUCUACCAGUUCCAACGCUGUUUUCACGAUACUCCUCCGAGACCUGUAGGAGGCUUUCGAUGAGGCCCCCAAACCAGUCCUUGCGAGCUUUCUGCUGGACUCCGACGAAGACAUGACUUAGGAUUAACGGGGCAAGCGCUGGAUUGCACUGCGAGAAUCACGAUAUGUCUGGAGAAACUUGGGUCAAACCUGUGUCGUCCUGAGCAUCGAGGUGCAGCUUUAUGGUCACCGUUGUCUGUACAAUCAUGUCAUUGUGGCUCUGACAGGCGGAGGCUGGUACAGCUUACCACAUUCACUAUCGUAGUCAGCACGUAACCUUUUUCCUCUUAAAAUUAUUUCCUUGAAAUUUGUACAGCGAGGCAAGACAUGCUGAGUGUUGCUCCAAUAUGCCCCCUACUGUGUCAUUCAUUUUUUUUUUUUUUUUUAAAUAUAAAUAAUGAUAGAUAUAAAUCUUUGUGAAGUACAGAAGACCGCAGUGGUCUCUAAAUCGUAGGGAAACAUGUAAAAAUAGUCUAGCCGACGAGGAUGACUCGUGCAUUGUGAGAGGGUGUCCAUUCUGCUUUCCAACUCGUCUGCAGAGCCGUGAUGCCCGCUGUUCUGACAGUCGGCUCGGGUGGCACUAAAUUUCGACCGCUUCGGUUCUCAAAUCUGGGUGCAAUAAGUUCAGCACCUAAUAUAUCUUAUUGUCGAUAAUAUAUCAUAAUAACCAUUAUGGUGCAUGUCGGUAGCUUGGCAUAAUGGCUACUUUAGGGCGUAGGAAUCGAUUGCAGAGCGUUAGGUCUUACCUCGUCAGCAACUUGAUUUCGGGCCUUCGACAAGUUUAUACUGCCACUUGAUAUACCGCCUGCGAUUUCGGAGUAUGGUACUGUUUGAAUUGAAAGCCAUGACUUGCACUUGAAGUCGUUGCGUAAUGCAUUUGCUGUUUUUGAUUCCAGACUUGGGGAGGGAUCGCUUUAAAUGAUUUCAUUUGCCAUUUUUGUUUGGUGAGGUUGUGAAGCUGCGUAUCCUGUUCGGAUUUUCUGCUGGCUUAGCGACCUGAUAGGGAAAUCUAUGCCUCGAGAGUUGGAAGUUACAUAUUGCAAGUGUGUGAAAUCGAAGCUCACAUACCGUAUGGUAAGUGAGCAGUUUGUCUGUACAUGUUUGCACUCGUAAGAUGUUCAAGUGACAACAGGCUUAGGUUGACAGCAGCCAGAUAGCAGCACUUCAGUGUGACACGGUUCCUGAUACACAGUCCAUUAUCAGAUGCCAGCUGAUUUAUCAAGAGGCACCAUCGGAAGAGAAUUCACUGCAAUCUGGUCAUCACAUUUCUCCUACUCAUUUUCACCAAAGCCUGGCUUUGACAGCAGAUUUUUCAUCAAACGACUGUUGAAUCAAAGCUCUCUAACUAAUCCUAGAACCAAUCAAUGGAAUCAGAGAUCACCGAACACCCACCUUGCAAGUAGUUGGCCAAAUGUGAUCGCCCAUUACACGAGCCCCGAUCAAGCUAACCUCAACGACUGAACUUAAUGCGGAACCGGCUCACAUGCGGCAUCGAGAAGGGUGAUGGAACAGCAUCCACUCCCAAGCAAUGGAGCCGGGGCCUGAUCAACACCCUCCUGUACGUCUCAGGGGGGGUCGGUAACACGUGGUUGGUACUGGCUUAGCAGCACUCAGACGACAAUGUUGAUUUCACAACAUUGCGGGUAUCAGUGUUCGAUCACGUUUCCACGCAGCCCGGUUUUUUGAUCCGGAGUUUUUGAUUUUGUCUUCUAAUUUUGAUUUAUCUCAAUUUUGGAGGUCUAUAAUUGCAAUGGUAUAAUUAACUUGUUUUACAAGUUCAUAGUUUACCAGAUAUAAUAACUUCGAGUUGGGAUUUAGCAUCUUGACUUUUGGCAUACAAAAGUGUUUGAGAAUGUUUGAGAGUUUUUAAAACACCAUUGACAACAAAUGUUUAAGGGUUUUUAAAACACCAUUGACAACACCCAAAGCCACCUCACAUUCUAUUACAAGCAUUGUGUGGCUUUUGGUGUUACAUGCCAUUGGUUUGUGGUGAAAUCCGUUGUUUUGCGCUCAACAAAGAAGUCUACAAGUUGGUUCUGGGGCAUGCGGUGGCUGCAGCACAAUCAACCACGGAGCGAGUUUACAGAUAACUCCGACAUGUAACACUUUUAAACGUCCUCCAUAAAACGCAUGUCCAACGAGCAUACCUCAGAGGAGGAUCUACAGACCAAGGCAGAAACAGACUCGUUAUUUAACAGCACCUGUCAGUCUGUACAGAAGGUGAACUAGGACCGUGUUUCUUCUUGCCCGUCGAUGGGACAAGGGUUGAGUGUGCGAAGCACAUGGGUGCAGAGCCUAGCUGCCGGAUAAUAAAUGGACCACUGCGAAAUGUCUCUGGAACGUCUCAAGAGCGUAUUGCACUAUAUUCUCUGCAUAUACUCUGUAGUGUUAUAACAUCUGCGUAUCCUUCUAUCAUAUAGAUGUCCUUUAUUAGAUGAGGACAUCCAAAUAGCAAGCUAUCAUAGUCACUACUUAGUACAGCAUCUACUUCUCGGCUUUGGCACAUAUGAUUACAUGUAACGUCUGCUUCAUAUUCUCCUACUGCACAUACAUCAAGAGAUGUAGGAGCUUCUGAUAUACUCACACGCCGUCUUCAAGGUUGCCUUAAUAGACUUUCGGUUCAGAUCACCUUCCAGGUUGUCAUGCAUCUGCUUCAACCUGUUGUACUCAGGUGACUCAGGGCCUACACACGCCGUGCACUCGUUCAGCAGCCGACGCGUUGCGGCAAAUGCGUAGUCCCAGCAAUUGUUGUCUUUCAAGUUGUAAUGAGCAUCGGUAGCUCCCUUUAAAAUCUCUUCGAUCUUGGAUAAUCCGAUCUUCGUCCGGCACUGCAUAGCGUAGAGGCGGACGCCUUCGUGAAGACGGUAGUCAACUUCUGACUUGUCGACCAGCGCUUCUAUGUGGAUGCCAACUUCUUGUGCACGCCCUGUUAGUUUCUCCGCAAGAAUAUGUAGCUUUGCGGCACCGCCACUCUCCAGCUCCAGGACCAGGUAGUCGUGGUUAAUCAAACCCCGCAUCUGCGCAAAACACACACACACACACAUACAUGUGCAUCUGGUCCAACAAAAUUUCUGAUGACGACCAUCAGUGGUUUCUUUCUCAGGCUGAAUUUCACAAAAUUUCUGUUCAAAAAGAAAAUGAGGCCGCCGCAUAAACGAAGAAAAUUCAAUGGCGAAUACUCAACUGAAAUCAUCACCCUGAAAAUCCACUCUCAGGCUGGGGGCACGUAGCCAGCAAUUGGACUGACAGGGCUGCGGAUACCAUGUAGGUAUAACAAUGGUAUUGCAACGGCAUCCCAUUGGUAUCCCCAGGGGUAUCGCAGGGUGUCUCCAGAUAUCGGAUGCUCUAAACUACAUUCGGUGUGUCUGGUAGCUAACCUACAACCUUCCAACCGUAGGGGGGUGCCAGGCCUGUUUCUGAAAGAGAUAAAUCACUGAUGUGCAUGAUGGUUUCAACGACGGUACCGAAUCUAUGUUGAAACUAACUUGCCGGUCCAACCGUGGUCUAAACUGCUAUGGUCACGGAACUCACCU
rnacentral:lncRNA from 1 species